AGUGAACGCUGGCGGCGUGCCUAAUACAUGCAAGUCGAACGGAGUGGCGCACGGGUGAGUAAUAUAUAGCUAAUCUGCCCCUUGCUGGAGGACAACCGUUAGAAAUGACUGCUAAUACUCCAUAGCAAGGGAUGAGUCUAUAUCGUAUCAGCUAGUCGGUGGGGUAACGGCCUACCGAGGCGAUGACGAGUAACUGGUCUGAGAGGAUGAUCAGUCACAUUGGAAGUGAGGCAGGGUCCGAACACCUACGGGAGGGAGCGGUAGGGAGUAUUACGCAAUGGGGGUGACUGUGACGGAGCAACGCGUCGUGAAGGAUGACAAUUUGCGGGGCAGAAACUCCGUUUGUUAGGGAAGCGGUACCUGACGAAGAAGCACCGGCUAACUCCGUGCCAGCAGCCGCGGUAAUUC
rnacentral:rRNA from 1 species